AUGGAUUUAUCUAAUUUUAGUGUAGUGUAUGUUGUUGGCAUUUUUGUAGAAAAGAUUAGGAACCAAUGCUCUGACCUCUCUGUUGCCUUGGUUAGAAGUGUAAAAUCUGGUUAUUCCACCUUCUUCCAGGAACCCUUGAACAGACAUUACACAUAUGGUAGAAGGUUACAAGGCAGGAGCCCUUUUCUGAGGAAACCCCCGAAUGUUCAACCAAAGCAAGGAACACCAGUAGCAGAUGCCAUUGGUGUGUUAAGGAGAAAUUUUCCGAAAAGAGAGGGAACAAUCAUUGAUAGACAUGACUUGAAGAUGCAUGGAGUGGGAUAAUUGGAAGCUCUACUGGUGUGCUGCAGUCUUCUUCUGACCUGUCAUUGUUCCCAGGUAAAUGAAGGAGAAUUCACAGGACAGGAUGCCAUUGCCCAGGUGUUACUUGCCUUGAAGACCCUACUGUCGUUUAAGGUAUUUGUUGAAUGGAACUUAAUUUGCUUCAACUGCCUGGUUUGUUGUGACUGAAGUGGAACCUCAUGGACCAGGAAACAAGGGCAGAUAUAGGAAGUAAAUAGACAGGUUGCAGAACAAAUUGUAAGCCUGAUCCUUUCAGUGUUUUGAAAAUCUAUGAAAUUAUCUAUCUAUAUAUCUAUCCUGUAUCUAUCUAUGUAUUUGUCAUCUACCUACCUACCUAUUAAUCCAUCUUGGUUAAUGGAUAGAAAUGACCAAAUCGUUACCACUGCCUACCCCUGGGAGCGAGAAUAGAGUGUAUGGAGAGCAAGGGGCAAGGAAGGACUCUCACUUUUUACUUUACACGUUUCUGUACUGUUAACAUGUUACUGGGUUGUUUUGUAUCGAAAGAGAUUUAAUAAAAAUUUGCAACUGUAAUCAUAACUACCCCCUCUGACAGCCCUCUCAGCCAUCUCACAAAGUGUCCAGAAAGAGUUAACACAGAGAAUUCCAGAUGUUUGAAGUGAGGACAAACUCCUGAUUUGGUGGUGGGGUUGGGGGAAGGGUUAGAGGUGAGAAGCAGCAGAAAGUGAGGAGGGGAGGAGAGGGAGGGCUGGCCACCCAGUACUCACCCUAACCAAUAGCACAAAAGUUCCAGG
rnacentral:lncRNA from 1 species